ACAAUCUAGAUAAAAUUCUAGAGUGCUUCCUAAUGAACACAACACAUUCAAAUGGCUAAAUAGGAGUUUAACAAACAACGUACAAAUUCUCCUGUCGUUUCAUUCUGCAGGAAACAGGAUGAGGGUGCAGUUAAUCAGACAACCACCAGGUGGCAGCAACAAGGACAGGUUAGAAACAUAAGGCGAGACUGUGAAAAGAGUGGCUGCCACAAUCUACAGAGCUGCACAGGUGAAGCGUCUGUUUCCUGGCAAAAUUAGGGAUUCCACUCAUCAUUCCAAACAUUCAAACUGCAGUGGCCACGUGCUGCUCUGUUUUUCAGCUGUAUUGCACCCACGACAGUGCUGCUUACCCUAAUUCCACUUAAAACCU